GUUCCAGUAGCGCAAUGGAUAGCGCGUUGGAUUUCUCAUCCGAAGGUCGUGGAUUCGAAUUCCACCUGGGUUG